GACGAACGCUGGCGGCGUGCUUAACACAUGCAAGUCGAACGAAGUGGCGAACGGGUGAGUAACGCGUAAUCAACCUGCCCUUCAGAGGGGGACAACAGUUGGAAACGACUGCUAAUACCGCAUACUGAAGGAGGGGAGUGCGGCUGAUUGGGUAGUGGGAGGGGUAACGGCCCACCAUGGCGAUGAUCAGUAGGCGGUCUGGGGGGAUGAACGGCCACAUUGGGACGGAGACACGGCCCAGACUCCUACGGGAGGCCGCAGGGGGGAAUCUUCCGCAAUGGACGAAAGUCUGACGGAGCAACGCCGCGUGAGGGAUGACGGCCUUCGGGUUGUAGAGCUCUGUUAAUCGGGACGCGGUACCGGAAUAGAAAGCCACGGCUAACUACGUGCCAGCAGCCGCGGUAAUAC
rnacentral:rRNA from 1 species